rnacentral:tRNA from 2 species
UCUAAUAUGGCAGAAUAAAUGCUUUGGAUUUAAACCCCAAAAAUAAAGAUCAAUCUUUUUUUAGAA